CAGACAACCAGGAUGUUGGCUUAGAAGCAGCCACUCAUUAAAAGAGUGCGUAAUAGCUCACUGGUCGAGUGACUCUGCGCCGAAAAUUCAACGGGGCUAAAAUUCAUACCGAAGCUUGGGCUUGACAGAAAUGUCAGGGGUAGGGGAGCGUCGUAUACGAGGUGAAGUCAUAGCGGAAGCGGUGGUGGAUUGUAUACGAGUGAGAAUGCCGGAAUGAGUAGCGAGAAUUAUGUGAGAAUCAUAAUGGCCGAAAGUCUAAGGUUUCCUGAGGAAGGUUCGUCCUCUCAGGGUUAGCCGGGAGCUAAGGUGAGGCGGAAACGCGUAGCCGAUGCACAUACGGUAGAAAUUCCGUAGCCUCCGAAGAUUUAAGCACAGGGACACUUUUGAAGGGCUGAGCCGGGCGUUGGUUGCCCCGGUCGAAAGGGACACGAUUGAGUGGAAGUCAGUUUGGAAAGAGGCGAGAAAAGCUGUGUGUAUAUGGAAGGAGCCCGUACCGCAAACCGACACAGGUAGACAGGAAGAAGAUUCUAAGGCCAGCGGGAGAAGGGUUGUUAAGGAACUCGGCAAGUUGACCCCGUAACUUCGGGAGAAGGGGUGCUUACGAAGGUAAGCCGCAGAGAAUAGGCCCAAGCGACUGUUUAGCAAAAACACAGCUCUAUGCUAAAUCGAAAGAUGACGUAUAUGGGGUGACACCUGCCCGGUGCUGGAAGGUUAAGAGGAGAUGUGAGAGCAUUGAAUUGAAGCCCCAGUAAACGGCGGCCGUAACUAUAACGGUCCUAAGGUAGCGAAAUUCCUUGUCAGGUAAGUUCUGACCCGCACGAAUGGUGUAACGAUUUGGGCACUGUCUCAACAACCCACCCGGCGAAAUUGUAGUACCGGUGAAGAUGCCGGUUACCUGCGACUAGACGGAAAGACCCCAUGGAGCUUCACUGCAGCUUAAUAUUGGAUUUCGGUAUUUCAUGUACAGGAUAGGUGGGAGACUGGGAAAUACAGGCGUCAGCUUGUAUGGAGUCAUUGUUGGGAUACCACUCUUGAGGUGCUGGAAUUCUAACCUGUGGCCUUGAAUCAGGUCAGGGGACAUUGUUAGGCGGGCAGUUUGACUGGGGCGGUCGCCUCCUAAAAGGUAACGGAGGCGCUCAAAGGUUCGCUCAGCAUGGACGGAAACCAUGCCAAAGAGUGUAAACGCAUAAGCGAGCCUAACUGCGAGACUGACGGGUCGAGCAGUAACGAAAGUUGGAGUUAGUGAUCCGGCGGUAUAUGUGAGUGGAAAUGCCGUCGCUCAACGGAUAAAAGCUACCCUGGGGAUAACAGGCUGAUCUCCCCCAAGAGUCCACAUCGACGGGGAGGUUUGGCAC
rnacentral:rRNA from 1 species